CAGUCAGCAACAGUUAGUGCUCAUGCACUGGAGUGAUGGGGGAGGGGGGCAACGGGAGAGAGAGCACAUUUGAACAUGCUGGACUCCAGAAACUGUGAAGAAGGAGAGAUGACCGAGAAAGAGCCAAAAGAGGAAAAAUUCUAAAGAGUAUAAACAGAGAAGAAAGUUAUAUGACAAGAUUUUUGGGUUUUGGACUGUUGGUCAGACAAGACAAAGAAUGAAGGGAAGAUCAGUGAAAUCGCACCACUGAACCUGACAGACACCACAAGCUUGCUCCACCCAGGGAGUGACAACUGAGCUCUCCUCACUCAUUCGAGCAUACGUGUAUAUGUGUUUUGCUGUGAGGCCUUCUGCAGAAGACUUGAA